GAUGAAGAACGCAGCGAAAUGCGAUAAGUAAUGUGAAUUGCAGAAUUCAGUGAAUCAUCGAAUCUUUGAACGCACAUUGCGCCCCUUGGUAUUCCGAGGGGCAUGCCUGUUCGAGCGUCAUUACACCACUCAAGCACGGCUUGUGUGUUGGGCCUCCGUCCUCCUCCCGGGGGACGGGCCCGAAAGGCAGCGGCGGCACCGCGUCCGGUCCUCGAGCGUAUGGGGCUUCGUCACCCGCUCUUGUAGGCCCGGCCGGCGCUUGCCGACACAUCAAUCUUUUUUCCAGGUUGACCUCGGAUCAGGUAGGGAUACCCGCUGAACUUAAGCAUAUCAAUAAGCGGAGGA
rnacentral:misc_RNA from 1 species